GAUGAACGCUAGCUACAGGCUUAACACAUGCAAGUCGAGGGGCAGCAUGGUCUUAGCUUGCUAAGGCCGAUGGCGACCGGCGCACGGGUGAGUAACACGUAUCCAACCUGCCGUCUACUCUUGGACAGCCUUCUGAAAGGAAGAUUAAUACAAGAUGGCAUCAUGAGUUCACAUGUUCACAUGAUUAAAGGUAUUCCGGUAGACGAUGGGGAUGCGUUCCAUUAGAUAGUAGGCGGGGUAACGGCCCACCUAGUCUUCGAUGGAUAGGGGGUUCUGAGAGGAAGGUCCCCCACAUUGGAACUGAGACACGGUCCAAACUCCUACGGGAGGCAGCAGUGAGGAAUAUUGGUCAAUGGGCGCAGGCCUGAACCAGCCAAGUAGCGUGAAGGAUGACUGCCCUAUGGGUUGUAAACUGCUUUUAUAAGGGAAUAAAGUGAGUCUCGUGAGACUUUUUGCAUGUACCUUAUGAAUAAGGACCGGCUAAUU
rnacentral:rRNA from 1 species